rnacentral:rRNA from 1 species
CGGGACACGUGGUAUCCUGUCUGAAUAUGGGGGGACCAUCCUCCAAGGCUAAAUACUCCUGACUGACCGAUAGUGAACCAGUACCGUGAGGGAAAGGCGAAAAGAACCCCGGCGAGGGGAGUGAAAAAGAACCUGAAACCGUGUACGUACAAGCAGUGGGAGCACGCUUAGGCGUGUGACUGCGUACCUUUUGUAUAAUGGGUCAGCGACUUAUAUUCUGUAGCAAGGUUAACCGAAUAGGGGAGCCGAAGGGAAACCGAGUCUUAACUGGGCGUUAAGUUGCAGGGUAUAGACCCGAAACCCGGUGAUCUAGCCAUGGGCAGGUUGAAGGUUGGGUAACACUAACUGGAGGACCGAACCGACUAAUGUUGAAAAAUUAGCGGAUGACUUGUGGCUGGGGGUGAAAGGCCAAUCAAACCGGGAGAUAGCUGGUUCUCCCCGAAAGCUAUUUAGGUAGCGCCUCGUGAAUUCAUCUCCGGGGGUAGAGCACUGUUUCGGCAAGGGGGUCAUCCCGACUUACCAACCCGAUGCAAACUGCGAAUACCGGAGAAUGUUAUCACGGGAGACACACGGCGGGUGCUAACGUCCGUCGUGAAGAGGGAAACAACCCAGACCGCCAGCUAAGGUCCCAAAGUCAUGGUUAAGUGGGAAACGAUGUGGGAAGGCCCAGACAGCCAGGAUGUUGGCUUAGAAGCAGCCAUCAUUUAAAGAAAGCGUAAUAGCUCACUGGUCGAGUCGGCCUGCGCGGAAGAUGUAACGGGGCUAAACCAUGCACCGAAGCUGCGGCAGCGACGCUUAUGCGUUGUUGGGUAGGGGAGCGUUCUGUAAGCCUGUGAAGGUGUACUGUGAGGUAUGCUGGAGGUAUCAGAAGUGCGAAUGCUGACAUAAGUAACGAUAAAGCGGGUGAAAAGCCCGCUCGCCGGAAGACCAAGGGUUCCUGUCCAACGUUAAUCGGGGCAGGGUGAGUCGACCCCUAAGGCGAGGCCGAAAGGCGUAGUCGAUGGGAAACAGGUUAAUAUUCCUGUACUUGGUGUUACUGCGAAGGGGGGACGGAGAAGGCUAUGUUGGCCGGGCGACGGUUGUCCCGGUUUAAGCGUGUAGGCUGGUUUUCCAGGCAAAUCCGGAAAAUCAAGGCUGAGGCGUGAUGACGAGGCACUACGGUGCUGAAGCAACAAAUGCCCUGCUUCCAGGAAAAGCCUCUAAGCAUCAGGUAACAUCAAAUCGUACCCCAAACCGACACAGGUGGUCAGGUAGAGAAUACCAAGGCGCUUGAGAGAACUCGGGUGAAGGAACUAGGCAAAAUGGUGCCGUAACUUCGGGAGAAGGCACGCUGAUAUGUAGGUGAAGUGAUUUACUCAUGGAGCUGAAAUCAGUCGAAGAUACCAGCUGGCUGCAACUGUUUAUUAAAAACACAGCACUGUGCAAACACGAAAGUGGACGUAUACGGUGUGACGCCUGCCCGGUGCCGGAAGGUUAAUUGAUGGGGUCAGCGCAAGCGAAGCUCUUGAUCGAAGCCCCGGUAAACGGCGGCCGUAACUAUAACGGUCCUAAGGUAGCGAAAUUCCUUGUCGGGUAAGUUCCGACCUGCACGAAUGGCGUAAUGAUGGCCAGGCUGUCUCCACCCGAGACUCAGUGAAAUUGAACUCGCUGUGAAGAUGCAGUGUACCCGCGGCAAGACGGAAAGACCCCGUGAACCUUUACUAUAGCUUGACACUGAACAUUGAGCCUUGAUGUGUAGGAUAGGUGGGAGGCUUUGAAGUGUGGACGCCAGUCUGCAUGGAGCCGACCUUGAAAUACCACCCUUUAAUGUUUGAUGUUCUAACGUGGACCCGUAAUCCGGGUUGCGGACAGUGUCUGGUGGGUAGUUUGACUGGGGCGGUCUCCUCCUAAAGAGUAACGGAGGAGCACGAAGGUUGGCUAAUCCUGGUCGGACAUCAGGAGGUUAGUGCAAUGGCAUAAGCCAGCUUGACUGCGAGCGUGACGGCGCGAGCAGGUGCGAAAGCAGGUCAUAGUGAUCCGGUGGUUCUGAAUGGAAGGGCCAUCGCUCAACGGAUAAAAGGUACUCCGGGGAUAACAGGCUGAUACCGCCCAAGAGUUCAUAUCGACGGCGGUGUUUGGCACCUCGAUGUCGGCUCAUCACAUCCUGGGGCUGAAGUAGGUCCCAAGGGUAUGGCUGUUCGCCAUUUAAAGUGGUACGCGAGCUGGGUUUAGAACGUCGUGAGACAGUUCGGUCCCUA